ensembl:lncRNA
ACUCUCUCCUGGCUGCUCGGUGUCCUCGCCAUGCUGUGGCACAGAGCUUUAUUCCACAGACCGACUACAGCUGGAGCUGGAAAACACUGGCACAGGCCUCACUCAGACUGGGAUGGUUUACGAGGGGGCGUCUAUAAUAAUCGACACAGCUCAGUGAUAAAACUCCCACAUUCGGACUGCAGUGUAGAGUGGAUGGAGAAGAACUUCUACCACCCAAACCAAGUAAAUGAUUGAGACUCUGCUAAAUCCUUGUAACUGGGACGCGUUUAAGAUGGAUAUGCCCUACACCGUUCUAAAUAAAGCUUCUGUGUAGGUACGUUUUCGUUCAUCCUGGUAUGAAUGUUGUUAAUGUUCACUCAAAGGUACAGCAGAGGCUUUCAGAUCCAAUUGUGUACCUUAAGACAUUUUUUUUCCCCCCAGUGGAAAAAGAUUAAGUGACCCUUAUUAGUCCCACAACGGGGAAAUUUCACCCAUCCGUGGAGUGAAACAACACAUACACUCUAGUGAGCGCACACACACUAGGGGGCAGUGAGCACACUUGCCCAGAGCGGUGGGCCGCCCAAUCAGCUGGGGGUUAGGCGUCUUGCUCAUGGACACCUCAGUCAUGUGCUGUCGGCUCUGGGGAUCAAACCGGCGACCUUCCGUUCACAAGGCUGGUUCCCUAACCUCCAGCCCACGACUGCCCCAUAUUUGUACCUUUUCAGAGCCCAAGUCGGGGUGUGUGGAGUCGAUACAACUUAGAAAAUAUACCGUGAGGGAACCCCCCCCAGUGAGUUUCGUACCUUUUUUCUGAGAGUGUAGGAGAAUACAGUGGAUAGUAAAAACUGCCUUUUUCCUCCAAUCUGUCUGGAAAAUCAUGGAAGUGUGUAUCCAGACUGGACCAACAUAAUCAGACGGCUGCUGAGUUUGGUGAAAAACAGCAAGCCAGUAAUUAGGAGGGAAAAAAAACCACCAACAUGGCUGAUCCACUGGAAAUAAAAUCGCAGGGCAGCACAUGAAAAAGAGGAAAUUACCUCAGGACCCCACGUACAUCCCACCCGAAAAGGGCUAGAGACACGGCGUAGACUGAGAACUACAGUGACUGUAUGGAAGGAAAGGAACACUCAGUUUUUCAACCUGAUCUGUCACAUUAUCUGUACCAUGUUCGAGAUGUAGAAAUAAACACACACACACACACACACACACACACACACACACACACAGACUCAAUGGGCUUUCAGUUCUUUACCAAGUGCAGGAAAAUGCAUUUAAAUUGAAAUCUGUGGUAACUGACCGUACGCUGUAUACAGCAGGUGGAGAUUAGAGACACAUUACUGUAAUAGACAAUUUCAUGACUUCUUCCAACUUUCUGCAUAAAUCAUCGAGUUCAGACUGAGUUAAUGUGAAAUAGUUAACUGUAGAGAAACUUGGUGGUGGUGAUGGGAACCAGGGUGACUACACAAACACCGACAUAUUUACUAUCCAGAACCACCAGUGAACCUACACCUGAGUUUUUAUAUGUAAUGUUGAUGGUAAAACAGUAAUAAAUAAAUAAUACAUUUCUUUUGGGACUAUUUUGUCUUAUGGUCUCAUAAACCAUGCAUGUACCUCAUGAACAGACGUUUUAGGCCAAAACCUUAUCAAAAUGAAUAUGAUGCAUCACCACUACUGUGAACGGAAAGUUUCUCUAGAAUGAAGCAUUAAAACCACCAUGAAUGAGUUUGUUUACAAUUUCGUUACGCAGAAGUUUUCCUUUGAGGGAGUUUAUGCACUGGCUAAAGACCAUUAGGCGUCCCUCUGAGCGUGACCACGUUCAGUACGGGCCUGGUUUAAUUUAAACUCGGCCUCUUUAACCAGGUGGAAUUGUUCCAAUAGAGUCAAAUUGCAAUGAAGGGCGUUCCUGUAAAACAAGAAUGGCCACAUCAGGAACGCCCACUUCUCAUUCAUUGCCCAAUAUAUCUGCUAAAUGUCUUCUCUCGUUGGUGGAUACAACUCAGUGGGGAAAAUACGUCAGUACUUGUAAAGAUGUAACACUAAAUUAAUAUUGUUUCUAUAUAUUUAGCUAUUCGGCAUUUAAAAGCAAAUAUUUAUGAAUCUAUAGGCUCUGGUGAUCUGUAGAGUUCUGUCUGGUUUUGUGACCCCCGACUUGAACUUGCGGUCUGAACGCCCAUCAUCAUCAUCUGCUCCAUACCAACCAUUAUUUAAAUAAUGUGUAAUAAUGGGUUACAAGGUUAACAUGAGGAAAAAAUACAUAGAAACCAUUGAGUUUCUGUUGGUUCUUGGGGGUUUGUGAUGCGUUUGGGCUUUUCUCGAGGGGUUCAUAAUAUAAAGGAUCCUAAUGGUUUACCAGGUGACCUGACUGAUACAUUUCCAGAUACAUUUCAGAUUCCAGUUGGAAACUAGUGGUCUCUAAUGGUAACCAUUAGGAGGCAAAAGGCAUUAGAUUUCAUGGACUUUAUUCAGUAGGGGCUGCCGUGGUGCUGCCAGCUUGCACAAUAUAACUGGCAAGGCUGAGUAUUGCUGACCAUCAAGCAACCACAUGCUUAUUUUCCACAAGUCCUGCUAAAAACAUUAAUGUAACGGUAAACUUACCGAGAUCAUAACCUGUAAUCGAAGCGCUCAGUGAUCUAGACCUUAUUAGUCUUUACUGUUUUUUCCCCGCAGUGUUCUGUACGACGGCGUUUUAGGGCCACUGUUAAUAAAAAUAGUAGACUUUGAGAAUAAAGCCAUAAUAUUCCGAUCAUAGUGUGGAAUUAGGACAUUAAAGUGGGAUAUUACCAGGAAAGGUCGCAAUAUUAUGGCCAAAGGGUUUGCAAAAGGAAGGUCGCAGGGAGAAUCGCAGGCACUGACCAUCUACACGGCUACCGGGGCUGCAUCUCCGCACCUUUCAAAGAGGACAUGAAGUUUCACAGACAGUGAGAAUGAUGAUCAAAAUGAUCGACCCACAAGGAGACGUGUGAGUGGAACUCCGCCUUGAUCUGCGUCGCUCUGUGUCUUUGUUGCAGCAACCCAGACCCCAACGCGCUGUCAGCCCCCUACAUCCUUGAAAUAUUGCAGGUUUAUUCUUUUAACUUUGUUUUUAAUCUCGAAAUAUUACAACUUUAUUCUCAAAUUCUACUAUUUUUACUUGUAUUACCCUAAAACGCCGUCAUAGUUCUGUUUACCCAGCAACUUUACUGUGGCUUUUACUCCAAAGCCCACCUUCCAUUGAUGUCAAACGGGGGUGGGCAUGUCAGCAUCACACCCAAGUAGUACCUGCUCUGUGAGGGUCCAUGGGGGUCCUGACUGCUGAAGAACAGGGUAAAAAUGGGCUAACAAAGUAUCAGAGAAACAGAUGGACUACAGUCUGUAAUUAUAGAACUACAAAGUGCAGCUAUACAGUACAAUAAGCAUAGAAACAAGGAGGUGGUUAUAAUGUUAUGCCUGAUGUGUUCACUUGCUGCUUUUUACCCUCCCGAUGCUAAAAAACAAAUACUUAACGGCCAGUUUGGCUGGAAAUGAAUAAAUGAAGAAUGGUGCACAGAACUGUAUUUUGAAUCCUACCAUCAGGAUAUUCGAGCACUUUGAGGUAACUAGAAUUAGAUGACUCACAGGAGUUCGGGCAGAUUAUUUAAUAUAAAUGAAUAGCAAAUAAGGGAUCAAUUUCUCGACUCAAAUGUUCGCAAUAUUGUAACGUAAACUCUUCUUUGGACUGAAAAACAGAUUUGGUCUGAACUGUUUGAAACCAAAGAAAUGACAAAACGGAUGCUUUGUUACAAAUCUUGCACAACUUCUAUUGUAGUCUCAUACAAAAACAGACAAAACAAUGACAAUCUUUUGACAAAAUGUACACAAAGUAGGCAGCCUCUUCACGCAGGAGAUGCCCCGUAAAUGUUACAGAAUUAUUUUCAUUAUUUUACAUAAAAUGAAAUUAAACAAGAGGAGCUCAGCAUGUGAAGAACUAAAUGUUUAAAAAGUCCAGUUUUCAUUUAUUUCAGUCACUGGUUUGGAAAAUGGGAGUUUUUAGAGGUGAGGGCUUCAGCAGCGCACAUGGUCAGAGUGCUCCUUAAAGCUUUGAUGGGAGAUGGGUAGCAGAGCAAAUGCAUUGCUGCAUUAGCUUGGGGUCUGGCUGGUACGGUGCACUGGAGGAACAUUCUGGGUAGAGACUAUUUGACGGCCCCAAAAAGGAAUAUAAUCCAUGCGCAACAGGUCAAGAGGUGUGAACCAGUCUGUUUUUUUUUUUUUUUUUAAUCAGUGAUGCACAUUAAGUGUCCAAGAUCAAAUUAAUCCAGUCAGCUUGUGCAAUAGCUGUGAAAGAAGCCGUAGUUUAUGGGCCUCAACCAAUGAAAAUGUUCCCAAUACCGUCUGCGCCAACCAAUCAGCACAAAGAGGCCGAGUCACAAAAGCCUCUGGAUAAAUUGGACAACGAGGAUCCAGAUGUUCCAGGUGGUGCCGAGACAUUCACGACAACCCAGUGAACAGCCAGAGAUGCUAGAGCGGCUGCUUGUGUCUCCUUUGGUCUCCGUCCUCGUUGUAAUCCACAGUGUCCCCCUACAGUCCUUUGAGGGC